rnacentral:rRNA from 1 species
GUGGGGAAUUUUGGACAAUGGGGGGAACCCUGAUCCAGCCAUGCCGCGUGUGUGAAGAAGGCCUUUUGGUUGUAAAGCACUUUAAGCGAGGAGGAGGCUACCGAGAUUAAUACUCUUGGAUAGUGGACGUUACUCGCAGAAUAAGCACCGGCUAACUCUGUGCCAGCAGCCGCGGUAAUACAGAGGGUGCAAGCGUUAAUCGGAUUUACUGGGCGUAAAGCGCGCGUAGGUGGCCAAUUAAGUCAAAUGUGAAAUCCCCGAGCUUAACUUGGGAAUUGCAUUCGAUACUGGUUGGCUAGAGUAUGGGAGAGGAUGGUAGAAUUCCAGGUGUAGCGGUGAAAUGCGUAGAGAUCUGGAGGAAUACCGAUGGCGAAGGCAGCCAUCUGGCCUAAUACUGACACUGAGGUGCGAAAGCAUGGGGAGCAAACAGGAUUAGAUACCCCUGUAGUCC